UGGGGAGUACGGCCGCAAGGCUAAAACUCAAAGGAAUUGACGGGGGCCCGCACAAGCGGCGGAGCAUGCGGAUUAAUUCGAUGCAACGCGAAGAACCUUACCAAGGCUUGACAUACACCGGACCGGGCCAGAGAUGGUCUUUCCCCCUUGUGGGGCUGGUGUACAGGUGGUGCAUGGUUGUCGUCAGCUCGUGUCGUGAGAUGUUGGGUUAAGUCCCGCAACGAGCGCAACCCUCGUUCUAUGUUGCCAGCACGUGAUGGUGGGGACUCAUAGGAGACUGCCGGGGUCAACUCGGAGGAAGGUGGGGAUGACGUCAAAUCAUCAUGCCCCUUAUGUCUUGGGCUUCACGCAUGCUACAAUGGCCAGUACAAUGGGUUGCGAUGCCGCGAGGUGGAGCUAAUCCCAAAAAGCUGGUCUCAGUUCGGAUCGUGGUCUGCAACUCGACCACG
rnacentral:rRNA from 1 species